rnacentral:tRNA from 1 species
GGAGGGAUGGCCGAGCGGCUCAAGGCGCCUGUCUUGAAAACAGGUAUAGGGAAACCUAUCGUGGGUUCGAAUCCCACUUCCUCCGCCA